AAAUUUUUACUUUCAUCUUAUGCUUUUCCCAUCCUUGUAAUGGAUUUUCACUAUAUAAUAAUUCUAGUUGUUCAUUAAUUAUUAUUCAUUCUACAAGAAAGUAGCUUGUUAAGCAAUAGUUGAAUGUUGCUACAGAACAUGGUAAGGAAUCAAAUAUGUAGAAUGAAUUUCCAGAGCUUUUGUUCUUGAUCUACAUGUUCGAAUUACAAAGUUGAAUGUGCAGUUCCCUGAAUUCUGGAGAUAAUUCUGGAGAAAGAACAUCAAAUCCAGUGACAUCUCCUCUGAUCUCAUCAAAUCCAUUAUUGCCUGAAGUCCCGACACCAGUUAUGCCGGAUUAAGUUGUUGUCAACAUAUCGGUACAAUCUUCAUCUGUAGGGAUAGAAACACUUAGAAAUGACAUUGUAUCUACAACUUCAUCAAAUACAACUAAUGAUAUCCGCACCCGAAUUGGAAUGGUCUAGUGAUUGUACGUGAACAACAUCGUUUCAUUUACAUUGUUUUGCUUCAGGCAAGAAAAUAAGCCAUAUUGGUUUGCUUUCCAUACUAUUUUUCUACAAGUCUUUUAAAGUUUUGUUGGUUUUCUUAAAUUGCAUUGAUGGGAAUGAAUUACAGAAUUGAGGUGUUUUAAAAAUUCAUUCUACUAGAAAGUAGCUUGUUAACUGAUGUAUACAUUUCUCUUAUAUAAGAAGCAAUAGUUGAAUGUUGCUACAAAACAUGGUAAGGAAUCAAAUAUGUAGAAUGAAUUUCCAGAACUUUGUUCUUGAUCUACAUGUUCGAAUUAUAAAGUUGAAUGUGAAGUUCCCAGAAUUUUCGCUCUUGAUCUAGAUAUUCAGAUUGUGUGGAAAAAUUAUUGUUUACUUUGCUUUCACAAGUACGUUUCUUCUUUUCCCACUGGAUCAUAUCUUACUUAGGGACUAAGAAUUGGUAGGAAUAUGUAAAAUUCUCUAUAAUUUUCUUAACCUCACUGAAUUCUAUGUCUGCAUUUGAGGUACUCAUCUGAUGAUUUCAAGCGGCUAUGUUCUUGUUAUUUGCAGAAUACGUUUAUUGAAAACUGAGAACAUGAACUGCAGAGUACAUGUUAAUUUUUUUAGUGACAUUUCAGUUUUCCUUUUGCAUGUAUUACUCGAUGUUACUUCUUGUAUAAGAAAAUAACACUUCUGAGUUUGAAAAUGACAUACUUGAGCCUAUUUUUCUAAUUUAUAAUUGUCUUCUACUUUACUCCGACCCUGUACCUGAUUUUCAUGUCGACAUCAACUACAUGGUGCAUUUUAUUGAAUCUGAUUUGAUAUUAGCGUCUAUGGCGUGACAUUUCUUCGAUGGCAACAGUCCUUAUUUCCUCAAGUUUUUCUCAUCUUUUGCAGUAUAUCAUUAGAAUUCAUACUAGAAUUUUUUUUACUUGCUCCAGAUUAAGGUUAGAUAUGAAUCUACGUACUGAACACAGAAUUAGUAUGGGGCCUCACAGCUAGUCAUUUCAAGAUAGAUAAUAUUUGAAGCCAAGUAACGAUGUAUCUCGGGCAAUCACAAAAAUCUUUAAGGGAAAAUUGGAUCCCCAAGGAUAUGAUUGGAAGUCAGUUACACCAUAGAUUAAGGACUUCUACUGGGAGGAGUUUAAGAAGCGACUCCAUUGGAAUAUGACAACUGAAGGUUCCAUAAAGGAUCAUUUUAUGAAAAAAUGUUCAAUAUAAUACAAGGGUAUGUUAUGUGAAGCAAGAAUCUCUGAGGAGGAACAAAAAAAUAUCCCAAAAUCUGUUUGGGAGAACUGAAAGCCUCACUAUGAUACUGAGAAGUAUAAGGCUAAAUCUGCACAAUACUCCAAAAAUCGAUGAAGUGAGAAAUGUGGUGAAGGAUUGGUCCCUCGCGCCAUACUGGAGGCUCCCGGACUCAUCGAGAGCAUGCAAGAGAACUGUUUUAGGCAACUGCUCUUGGACGGCCAUUUCAUCCACACGAACAUUUGAAGAAAACACAUACCAAAAGAAACGAUGAGUUUGUGGAUCUGAACUGUAAGAGCACAUAUGAGUUUUUUUUCAUCUGAGGUGCUGCAUACAACUUAAUAAUCAUGGAAGAGUGAUCAGAAAUCAUUGGCAAGUCGUACUCAACUUGCACAUGUCCCCCUGGAUGAUAAAAUAACCAAGCGCUGUCCAUCAUACUUCAUAUUCCAUCCACCCCUAUUAGUUUGUUGUGUAUGUGAAAAUUUCUCGAGGGAUUUCCCAUUAGUCUGUCGUUUAUAAGGUAUUUCACUCUUAUUGUUUUGAGACCUUUGAGGGACACAUUACCCACAAACAAUAGUAUUGUCAAGAUGGGAAUUAGCCAAUCUUCAAGAUUUUGUUGUUGCUCCUCACCUGCAAUGCGAUGAAACAUUUGUUCUGUAAUUGUACGCUUGCCCAGAAUUUAUGGGAAGUCAUACGUGGACUGCUUAGUAUUCAUUGGAUGUUGUAUUGUCUAAGAUCACAUCUGCAUCUCAGCUUGUAGAUGAAUUUGGAGAGUCUCCGACAGUAGAUUAUUCAAAGAUUUACAUGGAUGAAGUGCGUGGGGAUAAGAAGGCAUGUAUAUAAGGUCUUGGUUCCAAUGUUGUUUUCUAUGAAAACAUUGCUUCAUCAUCUGCUUCAACUUCUCAACCUUAAAAUUGUAGUUUUGAUGAUCAAAUGAAGGAAUACGUUUAUGAAAUGAAGGAGGAGAUGAAAUAUGAGAUGAGAGAAGAGUUGCAUGAUGAAAUGAAAAACAAAAUGCAGAUAGAAAUUCAAGAGCAGGUUGAUAAGAUUCUCCAAGAACGUUUGCCCAUCCUCAAAGCUGGGUUGCCUAAACCACCCCCUGGUACAUAGCCCGUUGGUACACACCUCCAACUAUUACACACCAUUAGCUUAGACAUGACCCAUCAUCAAAUAAUGAUGAGUCAUUUAAGAUUUCCAAACUAUUGUAGGCAUAUCUUUCAUUGUUUGUUUCUAUAUUUUGAUUUGUUUUGAACUCUUCGUCUUAGCUUUUGUAUUUGUUUAGUGAAUUUAUAAUUUAUCAAAGGAUCACUGGAUU